CUCCGCCCCCUCCCACUCUCUCUUUCCGGUGUGGAGUCUGGAGACGACGUGCAGGACCAAGACCCCUGGACCUGGGGCCCAGUCGGCCCUCAGAGCCCUUGCCCGCUCGGGUAUGAAGAUCGGGCGGAUUGGUAAGUGCCCCCCUCUAGCUAAUGCUUGGGUUUAUUUUGAAGCAUUGGCCCCAAAAAGCACGUGCUGUGCCCAGUGGAUGUGCAGCGGCUGGUCUGGUCACUUUUGGCAGUUAAGUUUGUUAAGGGAGGCUGCAAGAGGCACCUUGUGACUUAAAAAUCUCUCCCUGAAUAUCUCUGUCACCUUGAUAUGAAUGUCCUGUUUCAUUUGUGAAUCUCUGUCCUACACUGCCUGGUGCAGGUAAAACUGACAAGAGAUGAAUUGUCCUUUCCUCCAUUCUUGAGGUCAUUGCUAUUAGCAUUUUGUGUGUACCAUCUCCUGCAUUGUAGGAUGUUCAGCAUUUUUGGUUUCCGCCUACUAAAUAUCAGUUGGGCAUGCCAGUCGUGUGACAGCCAAAAAUGAAGUGGGGGGUACCAGCUUCUGUUAUUAAUACCCUCAGGCCUGUGAUCUCCUGGCUCCUUACAGCUCUUAGGAAGGGAACAGUAGUCUUUCCCUGCACAUUGUUCUGUGCAGUUAGUAGCGACAUACACUGACGCCCCAGGCCAAAGUUCCUACUGUGUCCUACUUGAAGGAUGAUUUUGUUUUCUUGAGACAGGGUCUGGCUCUGUUGCGUGGGCUGGAAUUCAGUGGCACAAUCUCAGCUCACUGUAAAUUUCGCCUCGUGGGCGGAUCUGUCCAAAGGAUCCUCCCACCUGCAUCUACUGAGUAGCUGGGACAACAGUGUGUGCCACACCGGGCUUUUUUUUUUUGUAGCGGGGAGUUUCACCAUGUUGCCCAGGUUGGUCCCAAACUCCUGGCCUCAGGCGUUCCACCAGCCUCAGUCUCCCAAAGCCCAAAGUGCUAGGAUUACAGGCAUGAGCCACCGCGCCCAGCCUUAAAAGAUUUUUUCAGACUUUUUUUCAGUGUCUUUUUACUUAAUGAAAACGAGACAGUUGCAGUUACCCUGUCUAAAAGGGUUUUUUCCUCUAGAGAAGACGGUGGGCUAGAUGUCAGAACCUGGAUUUGUCCUGUGCCUCUGACAUCUUGCGCACAGCUCAGCCUGUUUCCCUUUCUGGAAAGUGAGUUAAGACCACGUCAGGAAAUUCGAGGAACUGGCAGAUGGGGCCACUUCAUGUUCACAUCCAUCUGUUAGGUACUGGGGAGUCAUUUGGGGAGCAGCAGGAUCUGUUGCUGAUUGGUUAGGCCAUUGGUCUAGGGAGUCCUGGGGGCCCUUCCCAUCCAGCUCCAGGCAAUGACGCUUUCUCUUCCUCCCCACAGAGGAUGUCACCCCCAUCCCCUCUGACAGCACUCGCAGGAAGGGGGGUCGCCGUGGUCGCCGUCUGUGAACAAGAUUCCUCAAAAUAUUUUCUGUUAAUAAAUUGCCUUCAUGUAAACUGUUUC
rnacentral:lncRNA from 1 species